GCCGCGGUAUCCUGACCGUGCGAAGGUAGCGUAAUCAUUUGUCUUUUAAAUAGAGACCUGUAUGAAUGGCAUAACGAGGGUUUAACUGUCUCCUUCCCCUAGUCAAUGAAAUUGAUCUGCCCGUGCAGAAGCGGACAUAAACACAUAAGACGAGAAGACCCUAUGGAGCUUUAGACAAAAGAUCAAACAUGUAAAGAAACCAAACCAACCAAAAGGAACACGAAGGCCACAAAACCCAACGUAAACUGAUCUAAAUGUCUUCGGUUGGGGCGACCAUGGGGGAAAGAAAAGCCCCCACGAGGAACAGGGACAACCCCUAAACUAAGAGAGACACCUCUAAGCAACAGAAAAUCUGACCAAAAUGACCCAGGAUACUAAUCCUGAUCAACGAACCAAGUUACCCUAGGGAUAACAGCGCAAUCCUUUCCCAGAGUCCAUAUCGACGAAAGGGUUUACGACCUCGAUGUUGGAUCAGGACAUCCUAAUGGUGCAGCCGC
rnacentral:rRNA from 1 species